rnacentral:rRNA from 1 species
UCCUGGCUCAGGAUGAACGCUAGCGGCAGGCUUAAUACAUGCAAGUCAAGGGGGUAGCAAUACAACCGGCGCACGGGUGAGUAACACGUACACAACAUACCAUAUACUGAGGUAUAGCUUCGGGAAACUGAAGGUAAUCCCUCAUAGUAUUGUGAAAGGGCAUCUUUUUACAAUUAAAGUUUCGACGGUAUAUGAUUGGUGUGCGUUUGAUUAGUUAGUUGGUAGGGUAACGGCCUACCAAGGCAACGAUCAAUAGCUGGCGUGAGAGCGCGACCAGCCACACUGGAACUGAGACACGGUCCAGACUCCUACGGGAGGCAGCAGUAGGGAAUAUUGGACAAUGGGCGAAAGCCUGAUCCAGCCAUGCCGCGUGAUAGAUGAAGGCCCUCUGGGUUGUAAAUAUCUUUUAUCUGGGAAGAAACACUUCUAUUCUUAGAAGCUUGACGGUACCAGAGGAAUAAGCACCGGCUAACUCCGUG